CCUCAAUCUCCCAUCAGCCCUUGUCAGUUUACUCCCAGAACUGUGUGUCGUCUAGUUACUGGGGGAAAGUGUCUUGGGAUAUUUUACUGCUUAUUUCAGCUACAAGGACUGACCAGCGGAGAUACCUAUGAUAGGUAUUCGAACUCCGCUACACCAAUCAUGUGAUCGAAGGGGGGCAGGUAACUGAACAGACAGAGACACACACGCACACACACUGACAGGCACACACACACACACACACUUUCUCACACACUCCCAAUUUUACAUUUUUAAUUUUAAUCCACCCAGCCUCCCUACCUUUCGGAGAGCUGAGUAGACUUUCCCUGGGGUCCAGUGGGGCUGCUCGCUCUUCCUGUGUGCGAGGGAGCAGUAAUCCAUGGGUCGACAAAUCCUAGGCACCAGGUCAUCAUGGCGCCUAGGAAUUUUG